CAGUUCAUACUUAAUAUGUGUGGUCGGAUGAGUUUGGACAUAUGUAUACAUCUGUGGAAUCAUCAUCACAAUCAAGACCUCUUAGCCUAUUGAAGGAGACCUCGUCAGGAAGAAGACAGGAGCAAUCAGGGCAGUGCGAGUCUUGAUUACAAGGAGACGUUAAUCAUGUAUUAUUGGCAACUCCAAUCAUCUAGUCCAAAGCUCUCCCCCACAAAAAAAGAAUAGGACUGAAAUCAACAUCUUUGAACAUGAAAUCUUGGGCAAAGGUGCAUGCUUUCUCAUAGGAAAGACAUAGCAAA